AGUAUAUAUGAUGUGACAAACAAUAAAAUAAAAUACAGGACCUGGCUUGGGAGGUGGUUAAACUACUGUCCUAAAGGAGAUUUCAGCCUUUUCUCGUGCGAAGACUUGAGCCGCACAUCUUUCUCCAAGGUAUAAUCCGGAAGUCAAGUACUGCAACGUCCAUCAAUGGCACGAUCUCGAACGGAUGUCGAUCAGACUCGUUCUCAGUCCAAAUAAUAAUAAAAAUAAAUAAGAAAGAGAGUGAAGAGAG
rnacentral:lncRNA from 1 species